GGUGAGGGGCGGGGCAGCGCCGAGCGGAGCCGAGCCGAGCCGAGGGGGCGGGGUCACGAACUCUGACCUCCGGGAGCCGGAGCCGCCGCCGCCGCCAAAUAAGCCGGCCGAAGCGCCCGCCGGACGCCCCAGGUUCAUCUGUAAGAUCCAAAAUAAGUGUGUCUAAGCUCCAAGGCUCAUCUCACAACAAUUUAUAGAGCUGUGGGGAAGUAUGGGAAACUUCAAAUGGCUUAAGACGAUGUAAAUUUCUGCUGCUGUGGAAAAGCGUGACCUACAAUUCGCCUCCAUCACUGGUACAGCAGUAGCGUUUGCAUGGAAAUUCUGGUGAUUAAAGAUCAUGGCAACCGUAGAGGAACUGGCCCAUCAAAUUAUUGAACCGCAGAUGGGAGAGAUUACCCAUUCCCAGGAAGCAGUUACACAAACACUAAUGGAUGGGUCAGCACAACGAAUACAGAUUGUCCCUGCAGAUUCAGGCCUCUCUUUACCACAACGUAUACAGAUUGUCACAGAUCAGCAGACGGGCCAGAAGAUUCAGAUUGUUACAGCACUUGAUCAGAGCACACCAGGCAAGCAAUUCAUCUUAACAAAUCAUGAUGGCUCUACCCCAAGCAAGGUGAUCCUUGCCAGACAAGAUUCCACUCCAGGAAAAGUUAUCCUGGCAACUCCAGAUGCUGCAGGAGUCAACCAACUGUUUUUUGCAUCCCCUGAUAUAUCUGCACAACACAUCCAGAUUUUAACAGACAACUCCCCCAGUGAACAGGGCCUAAAUAAAGUGUUUGAUCUGUGUGUUGUAUGUGGAGACAAGGCAUCAGGGCGUCACUAUGGAGCAGUAACUUGUGAGGGAUGCAAAGGGUUCUUUAAAAGGAGCAUACGGAAGAAUUUAGUUUAUUCAUGCCGAGGAACAAAAGAUUGUGUCAUUAACAAACACCACCGGAAUCGAUGUCAGUACUGUAGGCUGCAGAGAUGCAUCGCAUUUGGGAUGAAACAAGAUUCUGUGCAGUGUGAGAGGAAACCUAUUGAAGUGUCAAGAGAAAAAUCUUCAAACUGUGCAGCUUCUACAGAAAAGAUCUACAUUCGGAAAGAUCUUCGUAGUCCAUUAGCUGCAACUCCAACUUUUGUAACAGACAAUGAAACAGCAAGAUCAACAGGUCUGCUGGAAUCAGGAAUGUUUGUUAACAUUCAUCAGUCUGCAAUAAAAAGUGAGCCUACUGUGCUGAUGUCUCCAGAUAAGGUUGAAGCAUGUCAGGGAGAUCUAAGUACACUGGCAAAUGUGGUGACUUCAUUAGCAAAUCUCAGUAAAUGCAAAGACAUGUCACAAAGCAGUACAGAGCUGUCUAUGAUUGAGAGUUUAAGUAAUGGAGAUGCAUCGUUAUCUGAACUCCAGCAAGAAGAACAAGCUAGUACUGAUGUUACAAGGGCAUUUGAUACUCUUGCAAAAGCAUUAAAUCCAGGGGAGAGUGCAGCAUGCCAGAACUCAGAAAGUAUUGAUGGCAGUGUACAGCUGAUUGGUGGAGAAUCAAGCAUGAAUAUCGUUGAAAUAGAGGGACCACUACUCAGUGACGCACAUGUAGCAUUCAGGCUUACCAUGCCUUCUCCUAUGCCUGAAUAUCUUAAUGUUCACUAUAUCUGUGAGUCUGCCUCCAGGUUGCUUUUCUUGUCCAUGCACUGGGCACGUUCCAUUCCAUCUUUCCAAGCUUUAGGGCAGGACAACAGCAUAUCAUUAGUAAAAGCCUGCUGGAACGAACUUUUUACGCUUGGUCUUGCACAAUGUUCACAAGUUAUGAAUGUGGCAACUAUAUUAACUGCAUUUGUUAAUCACCUUCAUGGCAGCUUACAGCAAGAUAAGCUGCCAACAGACAGAGGAAAACUAGUAAUGGAGCAUAUCUUCAAACUGCAAGAGUUCUGCAACAGUAUGGUUAAGCUUUGCCUAGAUGGAUAUGAAUAUGCAUAUUUGAAAGCAAUCGUCCUCUUCAGUCCUGGAUGGGGCUGGGCUGCACAUGUGGCAGAGUCCUAAGGUAAGAACAUCUGCUUUAGUAGGCCCUGCUGAUUUGCUGCCUUCCAUAGCUGGAGACUUGAAGAUUACUGAAAAUCAUCUGUGCCAAGCCAGCUCUUUGACUGUCAGAAGACAGCCUUGGGCAAAGAGAGGAUUGUAAAGGAGUGCCGAGAAGACUUUGCAUCUUUAUAAGUGGCUGCUUGUCUACUAGCAGUGGUCUUCAAACUACUGUUUUCAAAAGUUGACUUCUAGUUGUGUUUCUGACAUUGCUCUAAAAGCAGUAUCAUGAAGGGAUGAAUAUUGCAUGUCCAUGACAACUCUUCAAAACGUGUUCCUUCUUUGCAAACUUACUAACCUCUUGUCCUCUGCAUUAAUUUGAAGCCAUGCUUUUGGAAUAACUGAGUAACUGUAUAGGACAAAAUAUUCCCCUGUGAAGUGAUGUGUUCAGGGAAGUCCAGUGUAUCACAUAAUUGUUUUGAAAGCUUCUAGGCCAAAACCUCCUGGUUUUCUUGACAGAAGGCCAUAUAUUUGGAGAGGAGGAACAAUUGUUAGGAAUAGUCUUUUAUCUGACAUCAUUUGGCAGCUCAUUUCUGAUCCCAUUUCUGAAAAAGAAAAUCUACAUGAUUUGUCACGCUACUAUGACAGUAAAAUAUUUACAUGAAGAUAGAUGGAUAGAUAAUAAAAAUUACAGACCACAUAAAGUGUUCAGAAUUAGCAGAUAAUGAUUUCCAAAUGUGACUUGGCAGUUAGGUUAAUACCCUUUCAUUUUAGCAAGAUUUAGAUUUCAAGUGUUUUAAGCUAAAAAUAACGUUUAGCACCUUUGAAAAUUUCGCACCAAACAGUUGGAAAAGAACAAUCUGCUCCAAAUCUCCUCCAGUUUUUAGGAAGCAAGUGCUUCAUAGCCUUUUAUUCUGCUUUUUCCACUGAUCUUAAUUUUAUCCUUUGCAUCCCACCCAAAUGCUAUUUGUGCAUACAAUAUUCCAAUCAAUAUGAGUGUAUUGAAACAAUACUGUUCUACUGCUACACAGAGAACAGAGCUGUAUGAUCAAGAUUGGUGUAAACACUGCAAGCACUAUAUUUAUUUGAACUCUUCAAAAUGUCUGGCUGUAUUUAUAAAGACCUAAAUAAAACAUAAACAUAGAGGAAAAGAAAUAUAAUGAGUUAAAGCAGAGUCUUCCACUAAAACUGUGAAGUUACUACAGCUACCAGAUGAUGAUUUCAGUAUGCUUAGUUAGAUAAUCCGUAUGGAUUUUAGUCUGUCUUAUCUAGAACAGGUAUAACAAUGUAGAGUGGGGUUUUGGGGUUUGGUUUUUUUUUUUCAGAUCAUCCAGGUCUAGAAAAUGUGGUACAGAUCGAGAAAUUUCAAGAAAAAGCUUACAUGGAGUUCCAAGACUACGUCACAAAAGCAUAUCCGGAUGAUACUUACAGACUGUCUAGACUUCUUCUCCGAUUGCCUGCUCUGAGGCUGAUGAGUGCUGCCAUCACUGAAGAGCUGUUCUUUGCAGGACUAAUUGGCAACGUUCAGAUUGACAGCAUCAUCCCGUAUAUUCUGCGAAUGGAGACAGCGGACUACAACUCUCAGAUAAUCGGUCAUACCGUAUAAAAGUACCAGUCGAGGAUUCUGUACCAUGGCAGUCAUGGUGAUGUAAAUGCAUACCCUGUCUCCAAGAGAUGGCAAUAAGCCUUCCCGUGCACCUUUUCAAAGAAGGCUAAUAUUCCUCCUUUCCAGUACACUUGGGAAACGUGAUGGCGUGUAUUAAGGAAUAUAGGAUCACUUCCUAUUUUUCAUCUGAACUUCAAGGACUUGUAAAUUAACUUGGUAUCUGAAGAAAGUCAAGAAUUGUCCAUCCUAUUUUUGUAGAUAGAUGAACUGGGAAUAUUUGUUUAUGAAGUACACGCUUGUGAAGAAACUGAAGAAGCUUUGACUGAACUAAGGUAUCUCAACUUAGUUUGAUGUUUUAGAGAAAUAAAUUAACUUUUCUCUCUGAGUUGUGUUUUCAUUGUUUUGCUACUAGAUCUUUCUCACUGAUCAAAUGGAAAAUAUGCGAUCAAACAUCCUGAAAAGGCCAGUGUUUCCAUGGAAACCAGACCAUUAUAACCAAACUUAGUUUUCCAGUUGUUUCAAAGAGAGAUUUGUUUCUUGUUGAAUGAAACACUGGACAUCAUUAAAAUGCAGGGAAAGUAGAGAAAGUUCACGUUUUAAAAUACUCUGAUGAGAGGUUGCUGCAGUUGAUCAAUACUGACUGUUUUGUGGGUGCAAUGGAAUAGUGUAUUGUAGUAGUACCUCUUGGUAGACAUCACCUGGUUUAUACUACGGAAAACUAACAUAGAAGUGUAUACUGCAGGUAUUCAAAGACAGCAUCGUCCUGAUUUUUCUAGUCUUAGAAGUUAAAGCUUUUUCACACUACCCCUUCCUCUGUCACUUGGUGCACAACAAUGGAGGCAUUCUAGAUGCCUCUUGCGUUCAUGUCUUCAUAUUUUUAUUAUUGUUAGCCUUUGGCUAUGUAGUUCUCUUUUCCAACCAGUCUCAUGCUUGUUUAAAUUUGAGUUUGUCAAAUCCAGUGCCCCUCCCUAUGGGAGCAUAGUCUCAGCUGCUUUUCCUUUCCUUAUUAGAAAUGGGUCUAGAUCCUUCAUGUAUGUUGCCUGAAUCAUACAUACUUCAUAGCUGCGUCUAAGGAUGGGUUUUUCCUAUCCUGAGGCAUGUGUGCCUCACUGACAAAUAACACUGACAUACAGUUGCUUCUUGCUUCAUUUUUCGACGGGACAUUAUACAUCCCUAGCACAUUUAAUACCUGUUGCUUAAAAUAAAAGAAGUAUUGUAGUAGAAGUAGUGGGCUACCUCUGACACUAGCAUUUAGAAUUAUCUAAAUCUUGGAUCAAGGCUGAGUUCUGUUUAUCAUGAACCUUCUCUUUCUCCAGCACCACUGGGUGAGGAAGAGCCUCAUCAACAUACAAAUGGUGGCACCAGGAAUUGCUCAGCCAAAAGAUCAUCUUCAAUGGGGGCCUUUGCCCACUGCACUAGCAGCUCUAAGGCCAUGUUAACACCAGGAGACUACUACUAGAUGAGGCUUAGGACCUCAGCCAGUCAAAAAGAAUUGGAGAGCUGCCUCUGACACUUGACUUUCUGUGUUCUUUUCAAUUUCACUACCUGAGCUGUUUGGAUCUUCCUCCACCCAAGCUAUGUAAUUUGAGGCUGUACUACAGGAUCGGUCACAGGCAAAGCACCUGCUGCUGAGGACCCCUGAUGGGAUGGCACCAUCCCCCCUGCUCUGCCCUGGCAUCCUGAGUUGCUGGAGUACUGACUUACCUUCAGUGUCGGAGCUGGCCGUGUCUGCUGAGCUCUUCCCACAUUCCACCUUUCAAAGGACGCAGGAUUCGAGCUCUUCAUCUGUGUCCCCUGGAGAGCAGUGUGAAGACUGCUGGGUCUUGGGAGGUAUGCAUCUCAUCAGGAGGGUUUAUAGACAUAUGAAAGAGUUGCUGCCGAUAUGCUGUGCUUGUUCUCUCCCCAGGGGUUAGAGGCCCAGCUUGCCAUCGGUAGGACCAAGUUGCAGAUGAGAGGUGUAUAACUCUUCAUCUCUCCUUAGAAAUUCUGACCCUACUUUCUAGCCCUGUGCUGUCCCUGACCCACUUCUGGCCCUGACAGGCAUGGGUGAUUUACUGUCCUCUGUGUUAAAACUUUUAAGGAAGCUGACGACACGUUACUCCUGAAUAUUUUGGAAGUGGUUUCCCAGGCAUUCCAAUACUCUUGGAAGAGUUCUACUCCAGUAUUCUGCAGAUUCAUGUAACCCAGAUAAUAGUAAGGUGGAAAUAAAAGCUUGUUUUCCUUCUAAAUGCAGUACAUUGUGCAAAUCUCUCUCCCAUCCUAACAGAAAUCUUUUGCUCUGUAGCUUGAGCCUCAGGUGUCAUGUACAGUUCUUUAUUUACAGCUGGCCAAAAGAUUUGGCUCAUACAGCCUCUUGCAUGGGACUGUUCAGCUUUAGAGACAACUGGGAAAAUAUGAGUGUUUAUACAGAUAUUAGUCUUCAGUGACUGAAUCCCUUGCCUCAUUCAUCUUCAUCAUAGAACAGCCCAGGUUGGAAGGGACCUGGAAAGAUCAUCCAGUGCAACCUUUUGUGGGAAAGGGAGCCUACAUGAGAUCAUCUAGCACUCUGCCCAGUCACGUCUUGGAAACUUCCACUGAUGGGGACUCCAUUCCUGGGGAGGUUGUUGCCGUUACUGAUCAUUCUCAGCAUAAGCAAAUUCUUUCUUAUAUCCAGAUCUCCAAGAUUUUCCAAAGAUUAUAGACAGUGGCCUUGCACCAAUGUCAGCCGCUUAAUACCUACGGGUGAAUUUCUUCUGGGCUCAUGGAUUUGCGUGCGUUGAGCCCUUGCAGGAGGCUGCAGACCAGUCCUUCCUCCACUGCUGGUAGGUUGACACGUGGUGGUGUAGCUACUUCAUCCUGUGCUCUGCGGUCCAGCUCUGCUGGUAAAGACAGAGGCAAAAACGAUGCUGAGAACCUCUGCCUCGUCAGCAUGACCACUGAGUAUUUUCCCUGCCCUGUUAGGCAACAGAUCUGCGUCUUCCCUGUGCUUCUGCUUACUGCUCAUAUAUAUCUGAAGAACCCUUCCUUGUUGUUCUUGACAUCUUUAGCCAGUUUCAGUUCUAGCUGAGCCUUGGCCUCCCUGCCCACAUCUCUGCAUACCCUCGCAAGGUUCUUGUAAUCCUUGAUGGGUAUUUAGCUGCUUUCCAUAGCUUAUAUGCUGGGGUUUUGCCCUUUUUUUUCCCCUUUUUUCUCAGAGUGCUGUUUUAGAUGAGAUGACCUCAGAACCUUAUUUUCUUUGGAUUUCUGUUACUUCCUCUGUGUGCCCUAGUCUGUUUGCAUACAAGUUAGCCUACUUCAGUAGUGUGUGGCCUGCCAGUACCACUGACUGCUGGGUCAUGACUGCUUUCCUAGUAUGUGUUAACUCAAAAGCACAAGAACCUUGGUCAUGUUUCCCAUCAGGUUGUUUAAAUCCAGGUGUUUGUUGACCAAAAAACCCUGUUUUAUACCUCUGACAUUUGGACCUCCAUAGAGCAAACGUGCACACACGCGGCACGUUGCAAAGAGCUCUGGCUACUGGUAAGUAACCUUUUUUCCAAAAAGUUUUCUGACGUUUUUUCAUAAUAAUAGAUUUUCAUCCUAAGUUCAGUAUUGAUUUAAAGGUAGCGUGCAGCUGCUCUAUGCUGCCUGGCAAGUAAUCUUUCUCAUCCUCAUGAUGAUCUAGAAGCUGGAUCCCAUACUGCAGGUUGUUGCUUCAGUGUAACUCACUUUGCUUAUGAAGAUUUUUCAUUAAUUGUUUUAAAAUAAUUUCAUUAAUCAUUCUCAAGCUAUAAAUUCAUGCUUUUGAUGGGGAGUGAGAAAUCCCAUUCCUGGGUUUUCUCAGGAAUGGGAGCUUUAAAACAGGUAAAUUAAUACAGGGACGAAUGUGUUUUUUCUUUAUUUCUGGAUAUUAACCAUUGCAGUCAUCUGAGAAUAACGCAGCAGCUCAUGGGGAGGUGAAACACUGAAGUUCUGGUUUUGCUGGUUUGCUUUUUCAAGAUUGCUGCUCAGUUAAAUGCAGCAUAUUCAGUUAUCUUCAACUCAGACUUUCAGUGUUUCCAACAGCUAUUUUUUGUGCUGACAAGAUCUCACAGUACCACCUGUGUGAUUUAUUGUCAUUUCUAGCCUUGUGAAUGAAUGUUCUUAGCUCCUGAAUGAAAGGCUGGCUGGUAUUACUGGUUUCUUUCAUGCUGCUCAGUAAUGUUGUUCAUCAGCUAACAAAAAUGUGAAUAUUGAAGCUCACUCCACCAUGGGAUAUUAAAAUAUCAUUGUUUUUGUGACCUCUUCCUUUCAUCUUUGAUUUAUUUUUCAACUUCUUGAUCUUCAGCAGUCUGACAGUUUUCGAACCCAUCAGGAUUUAACCAAACUGUCGCAUUUACUAGCCAAAAAAUAAGAAGUCUCUUUGGCAACAGAAGGACAAGUUUAGUUUCAACAACUUUAAAUUUUUCAAUGUUAAGAGCGAGAAAAAUCAUUUACAUAUAAAUCACAUGAAAGGCAAAACAAUUUUAUACUUUUCAGAAUCCUGUCAUGUAAAGAUGGGAGUGGUGCUACACAUAAUAAGCUUACUGGUUCAGACAUUCUUCAUGGAAGUGUAUGUUGUACAUGAAUUCAUGGGGUUAGGUUGCUUGUUUCAUGUCGGUUAAGCUCCUCGUGCAAAUAAUUGUUAUAUUUUAAACUUUUCAGAAGUACCCCCAUUGCAAUACCUUCUGCAGCUACAACCUUACCUGUCCAUACAGUUACUGUCUUUGUGUGUUCUCCAGUGUGAGCAAAAGUCAGUCUGUUCAUUUUGAAACCGGUCUGGUUUGUUCAGCCGUGGUGGUUUGCUAGUGUGGCCAUUUCGGUGUAAGCACUACAACAUCACUGUAAUUGUCUUGCUGUUGUAUUAAAACAAAAUCACUGUGGAUGUCUUGAAAGCUGCCUAAAUUGGUAAAUUCUAUUUUGGCUGUAUUUUUUAAAAUAAACUGUAACUUUCUAUUCUAGAAAACAGUGGCAAUAACCUAUUACUUAGUGUUUUAUAUGGAUUGAAUGACAGGCCUAAACCAGUGUAUAUAGGAUUACAAAGAGUUUGUGGGUCUUUUACACUUUUAUUACACAAUGUAGUAUCGUCACUUCUAUUUAGUCUCUGGGAUUUGUGAUAGCUGCAAUAUCUUGCUGUUUACUCAUUUUUGCUGCUAUUAACCCUUUGUUUCCAUGUUUACUAUUUUCUGGCCUAUGAAUUUGAAAAUGUAAUAAUUAAUUGUAAAAUCUAAUUUACCUUUUUUUUUUUUAUUUUUACAACACGCCACAGAAAUAUGUAUUGUAAUGAACCCUGAU